rnacentral:snoRNA from 1 species
AUGGGGGUAUAGCCACACAUUGUUGGAAAUACCUCAUACAGAAAUUGUGUGGUUUUGCUUUACUCACAGGGAUAUUUCUUAGGUCUGUGGGAAGUGACUACAAGAUAGUU